GACGAACGCUGGCGGCGUGCUUAACACAUGCAAGUCGAACGAAGUGGCGGACGGGUGAGUAACGCGUAAUAAACCUGCCCUUCAGAGGGGGACAACAGUUGGAAACGACUGCUAAUACCGCAUACUGAAGAGGGGGAUUGCGUCGGAUUAGCUAAUUUGAGGGGUAACGGCCCACCAAGGCGAUGAUCAGUAGCCGGUCUGAGUGUGUGACCGGCCAUAUUGGGACUGAGACACGGCCCAGACUCCUACGGGAGGCAGCAGUGGGGAAUCUUCCGCAAUGGACGAAAGUCUGACGGAGCAACGCCGCGUGAGUGAGGACGGCCUUCGGGUUGUAAAGCUCUGUUAAUCGUGACGCGGUACCUGAAUAGAAAGCCACGGCUAACUACGUGCCAGCAGCCGCGGUAAUUC
rnacentral:rRNA from 1 species